UCGCUGUAGCAAUACAGUGGAAAGUUCAGUGGCGAACGGGUGCGUAACACGUGGGCAAUUUGCCUUAAAGUGUGGGAUAGCUCGGCGAAAGCCGAAUUAAUACCGCAUGUGGCUACUGGAGACAUCUUCGGGACGCUAAAGGUGGCGCAAGCUACCGCUUUUUGAGGAGCCCGCGGCCUAUCAGCUUGUUGGUGAGGUAACGGCUCACCAAGGCGUUGACGGGUAGCUGGUCUGAGAGGACGACCAGCCACACUGGGACUGAGACACGGCCCAGACACCUACGGGUGGCAGCAGUCGAGAAUUUUUGACAAUGGGGGAAACCCUGAUCGAGCGACGCCGCGUGGAGGAUGAAGGUCUUCGGGUUGUAAACUCCUGUCAUUUGGGAACAAGGCGUAUGUAUUAACUGUACGUGCGUUGAUAGUACCAGAAGAGGAAGAGACGGCUAACUCUGUGCCAGCAGCCGCGGUAAUACAGAGGUCUCAAGCGUUGUUCGGAUUCAUUGGGCGUAAAGGGUGUGUAGGUGGCGCGCUAAGUCGGGUGUGAAAUUUCGGAGCUUAACUCCGAAACUGCAUUCGAUACUGGCGUGCUUGAGGACUGGAGAGGAGACUGGAAUUCACGGUGUAGCA
rnacentral:rRNA from 1 species